rnacentral:tRNA from 1 species
CGGGGUGUAGCGCAGUCCGGUUAGCGCACCUGGUUUGGGACCAGGGGGUCGGAGGUUCGAAUCCUCUCACCCCGACCA